rnacentral:rRNA from 1 species
CUACGUGCCAGCAGCCGCGGUAAUACGGAAGGUCCGGGCGUUAUCCGGAUUUAUUGGGUUUAAAGGGAGUGUAGGCGGUCUGUUAAGCGUGUUGUGAAAUUUAGGUGCUCAACAUUUAACUUGCAGCGCGAACUGUCAGACUUGAGUACACGCAGCGCAGGCGGAAUUCAUGGUGUAGCGGUGAAAUGCUUAGAUAUCAUGAGGAACUCCGAUCGCGAAGGCAGCCUGCGGGAGUGUUACUGACGCUUAAGCUCGAAGGUGCGGGUAUCGAACAGGAUUAGAUACCCUGGUAGUCCGCACUGUAAACGAUGGAUGCCCGCCGUUGGCGCCCUGCGCCUGCGGCCAAGCGAAAGCAUUAAGCAUCCCACCUGGGGAGUACGCCGGCAACGGUGAAACUCAAAGGAAUUGACGGGGGCCCGCACAAGCGGAGGAACAUGUGGUUUAAUUCGAUGAUACGCGAGGAACCUUACCCGGGCUUGAAUUGCAGUCGCU